rnacentral:rRNA from 1 species
CCUUGACAUCCAGAGAACUUAGCAGAGAUGCUUUGGUGCCUUCGGGAACUCUGAGACAGGUGCUGCAUGGCUGUCGUCAGCUCGUGUUGUGAAAUGUUGGGUUAAGUCCGCAACGAGCGCAACCCUUAUCCUUUGUUGCCAGCGGUUCGGCCGGGAACUCAAAGGAGACUGCCGGUGAUAAACCGGAGGAAGGUGGGGAUGACGUCAAGUCAUCACGGCCCUUACGGCCAGGGCUACACACGUGCUACAAUGGCGCAUACAAAGAGAAGCGACCUCGCGAGAGCAAGCGGACCUCAUAAAGUGCGUCGUAGUCCGGAUUGGAGUCUGCAACUCGACUCCAUGAAGUCGGAAUCGCUAGUAAUCGUAGAUCAGAAUGCUACGGUGAAUACGUUCCCGGGCCUUGUACACACCGCCCGUCACACCAUGGGAGUGGGUUGCAAAAGAAGUAGGUAGCUUAACCUUCGGGAGGGCGCUUACCACUUUGUGAUUCAUGACUGGGGUGAAGUCGUAACAAGGUAAGCGUAGCGAG